rnacentral:lncRNA from 1 species
UGAAUAGUUUGGUGUUAUCAUAGAUCAUCAACAGUGUGAUUCCACAGAUAGCAUCCACACUGAUCCAUACAGAGACUGCGUAUGGGGCUUGGACAGAACUUCAAGAGAGGUACAAACAAAAAAUGCCCCUAAAAAAAGCCAGUUAAGGUAUGAGAUCAAUACUUUAAAUCAAUCAAGUGAUACUGUCUCAGUGUUUUUUGAUAAAUUCAAGUCUUUAUGGGAUCAAUUCAUAGAGAUAGAAAAACCCGAUUGUAAGUUUUGUCCUUCUUGCAUACCAAUUUAUAAUAAAAAAUUGAAAAAGAUAGAAUUCAUCAAUUCUUAUUAGGAUUGAAUAAUGAUCAAUUCAUGACUCUUAGGAGUCAAAUAUUAGCCUACCCUGAGCUUCCCUCGAUGAACCAAGUAUUUUGGUUAGUCAUACAAGAAGAGAAGCAUAAAACCAAUUUUAGGGAAAAAUUGGGUGGGGAAGCAAUUAACUGCAUUAUUUGCCAAGAAAACAGAAAAAGAAGAAAGAAGAGGAACCUAAGAAAAAAAGGGUAUACAGAAAAAAUGGUAAGAAAUUAGAUACUAGGUUCUAUUGUGACAGUUGCAAUUUUUUUGGUCACACUAGAGAACAGUGUUUUCAUAUAAUAGGAUUUCCAAAUGAUAAGAAGAAAUUCAGAAAAGAUAAAAGGAUGACUUUAAGAAAACAGAAACAACAAACCAAGCCUCUACAUCCAUGGAUAUGCAAGGUCUGUCCAAUGAAGAAUUGAUGAUGCUUAAGGAUUUUUUAAACAAAUCCUUAUGUAUGAGUUUUUCUUUAUAUAUGUCAAAUUUUGAAAAUGCAUAGAUUAUAGAUACUGGAGCUUCCCAACACAUGACUGGGAAUAUCCAUAUUUUUGAUAAAACCCCAAUUGAAGGUCAUGAGCAUUAUGUCACCAUACCAAGUGGUGAAAAAUGUAAAGUGACUUCAGUUGGGGAUAUAACCAUAACUAAAGAUAUUACACUCAAAAAUGUCUUAUAUAUUCCCGAAUUCAAGGUUAAUUUAAUUUCAGUAAAUAGAUUAACCCUUGAUUCGGAUUUAAAUAUCAUUUUUGAUAAGAUUAAGUGUGAUUUUCAGGAAAGCAAAUCAGGGAAAGUGAUUGGACAGGGUAGAUGUCAAAAUGGACUCUACUUCUUGAAGCCUAUAUCACCUGAUUUUGCACAUACAGCCAUGGAUUUGCAAAUUUGGCAUAAAAGGUUUGGGCACCUAUCUUUAGAAAAGAUGAAGAUGCUUGUCAAAGACAACAAGAUAGAGUGCAAAUCCAUUACAAAUACAAGAUCAGAUUAUGAAAAUGAUUGUAAUAAAGUAG